CAGCAGCCGCGGGAAUACGAAGGGUGCAAGCGUUAAUCGGAAUUACUGGGCGUAAAGCGCGCGUAGGUGGUUUGGUAAGAUGGAUGUGAAAUCCCCGGGCUCAACCUGGGAACUGCAUCCAUAACUGCCUGACUAGAGUACGGUAGAGGGUGGUGGAAUUUCCUGUGUAGCGGUGAAAUGCGUAGAUAUAGGAAGGAACACCAGUGGCGAAGGCGACCACCUGGACUGAUACUGACACUGAGGUGCGAAAGCGUGGGGAGCAAACAGGAUUAGAUCCCCCGUAGUCCCUGUCUCUUAUACA
rnacentral:rRNA from 1 species